UACGUAGGUGGCGAGCGUUAUCCGGAUUCACUGGGCGUAAAGCGCUUGUAGGUGGUUCUGUAAGUUGGGUGUGAAACCUCUCGGCUUAACCGGGAGUGGCCGCUCAAUACUGCAGGACUUGAGGAUGUCAGAGGAAGGUGGAAUUCCUGGUGUAGUGGUGAAAUGCGUAGAUAUCAGGAGGAACACCCGUGGCGAAGGCGGCCUUCUGGGGCAUUCCUGACACUGAGAAGCGACAGCCAGGGGAGCGAACGGG
rnacentral:rRNA from 1 species